AUGAACGCUAGCGGGAGGCUUAACACAUGCAAGUCGAGGGGGUAAAUGGUAGCAAUACUAUGAGAUCGGCGGACGGGUGCGUAACGCGUAUGCAACAUACCUUGUGCAGGGGGAUAGCCCGUGGAAACGCGGAUUAAUAUUCCAUAGUCCAGCUAUAUCGCAUGGUAUAGUUGGUAAAGAUUUAUCGGCACAAGUUUGGCAUGCGUCUGAUUAGCUUGUUGGUAGGGUAACGGCCUACCAAGGCUACGAUCAGUAGGGGUUCUGAGAGGAAGGUCCCCCACACUGGGACUGAGACACGGCCCAGACUCCUACGGGAGGCAGCAGUGAGGAAUAUUGGACAAUGGAUGGAAAUCUGAUCCAGCCAUGCCGCGUGCAGGAAGACAGCCCUAUGGGUUGUAAACUGCUUUUAUAUGGGAGCAAUAAGGUCUACGUGUAGACUGAUGAGAGUACCAUAUGAAUAAGCAUCGGCUAACUCCGUG
rnacentral:rRNA from 1 species